UACGAAGGGGGCUAGCGUUGCUCGGAAUCACUGGGCGUAAAGCGCACGUAGGCGGAUUGUUAAGUCAGGGGUGAAAUCCUGGAGCUCAACUCCAGAACUGCCUUUGAUACUGGCGAUCUUGAGUCCGGGAGAGGUGAGUGGAACUCCGAGUGUAGAGGUGAAAUUCGUAGAUAUCGGGAAGAACACCCGUGGCGAAGGCGGCACUCUGGGACGGUACUGACGCUGAGACGCGAAAGCGUGGGGAGCGAACAGG
rnacentral:rRNA from 1 species